GAACAACUCUAGAGGAAAAGCUGGGCCGGAAAAGUGGGAACCUCUAGGGCGCCGCCCUGUUGCUACUGGUCAAUGUGGCCAGCGCAAUUACUAUUGAACGAGCUGAAAACAAGUACAGGUCACCUUAUGCUUUGUCAUCUAAAAACGCAUACCUGAUGGCUUUAUGAAGGUGGUGCGUUAAUAUUAAGUUUACAGAAAGCGAUCGCUAAGUCCGUGACUUAUGUAAAUCACGAUGUACGCAUUCAUGCAAUAAAGAAUGACGCGAAUUUCGGUUUCGAAUCUGUUUUUUGGACGCGUAGUAGUUUCGUACAGUUUAGUUUUGACAUGCGAUCGCGCGUCGACAUCGGACGCUAUGGCACACUCGUGCCUUAUGUGCCACCGAAACGCCGAAGUGCUCUGGCAUAUACUUUCACAUGUAAGUAAACGAAUGUAUCUCCUUGUUGAGAAUAUCACGCGAGUAGGCAGCUCUUGUGGUGCAUCACAAUCGUUUGAGAAGCGUCACAGUAGAGCAUUUUUCUACAUGCGGAGCGCUGUUUUUAUUUGCAGGUUUCCCUUCAGUAGGAAAUUGCUGGACAGGCGGACCAGCGCACCGGAAUUGUACUGGCGAAGCCACAAGCAAUUCAAAGAAUCUGUUUAAUUGUUGCACUUUGAACAAUCAUGCGUCUACAAAGGCCACAGCAGAAAAACAGCCUGAUGCCGAGUAUUUCUGCGCCACGAAGUAAUCAAGAGGCGAGUGCCUAAUGCGGACGAAAUCGAGUGCAUCGAGACUUAGAACGACAGAAAGCUAAGCUAGUUGGUAAGGAUUCAUUGUGCAAAACAGAGGUGAGGCGUGCAGACAGGACACAAGAGUAGAGAAGUGGGCGGCGCUCGUGUUGUUUGCUUGUAAAUACUCUGCUCUUGUGUCCUGUCUGCACGCCUCACCUCCGUUUUGCAUAACGAGUGCAUCAACCCACAUAUUAAUAGCGUAGGUGUUCUAUUAACUGUGCAAUAUCUUCAACACUUCCUUGCAUGCCAUUUCAUGUGGCAUAUCUUUUCUGGUCAUAAAUGUGUGCAGCGAAUAAUCUAUUUGCAUGAUCGACUCCGGGCCUGUGGGACCGUUCACUUGCACUUGAUACUGAGUCUUUCACAUGUAUCGAUAAACUACAGAUAUGCACAUCAGAUCCCUGCGAGCAUUUUCAAUAUUCAAUUAUUUUAGACAACAGGCACAUAUGCAAUACUGACAUAAUCUCGAAUACCACUAAGCAGCUGGGACACAUUUUUGUUGAUCAUACUCGCAGGUAAAAUAAGUAGAUCAUGUGGACAGCUCCAGCUCAUUUUCCUGAAAUCAGUGUGUACAAGGGGUAUGCAAAAAUAAUUUUUUAUCGCGCACCGAUUAUUUUGCUGUAUAAGCAAGAGAACCAACCCCGUUAGUGUAACGUAUCAUGUACAUCACACUAAUAUGUGCUUUAAUUUACCAAGUGAGAUGAGUUACUUUCAUGGCUCAUUCAGUCAAAUCACACUGCAAGCUGCAUUCAUCAAUCUUCAAUUGGAUUUUGCAAAUGUUUAAUGAAACGUGUUUCCCUUUUAUGCAGAAAUGCAAUGGCAAGCCCUUCCGUGUGCUCCAAAUGUGAAAUUUAAGCUCUAAAUUAAAGAAGACAUUUCUACUCAGAAACAAGCAAAAAUGGUGAAUGCAGAGUAUCAGAAGCCCAAGGUACAGAAAUUAUGAGAAGUGUCGAAUGAUUUUAAGGAAAGAGUCGUAUUUGAAAAUGCAAGACUCUUUAGUGGAGGUCAAGCAAGUCAAUAUAGGUAGAAUACUCUGCAAAAUUAUGCAAGUGAGGGGAUGUCAAACAAUGGGUCAGGAAAUGCAUUGUUUUUCUUCAAAACAAAAGCUAAUUGCCAUUACAUAAGUCACUUUAGCAUCAUGAGACUGCUGCUUGAUAAAUUCAGAAAUAAACCAAAAAACAAUUUAAUGAUGCUCUCUCCACACUGGGAUAAAUAAAAACAAACAGAUCACAUCAAAUGUGGACAUAUCAGACGCCUUGUGAAACACUAAAGGAAAAAUUCAGUUUCGAGCUAUGGCACUUGCCGCAUAGAUGUGAGGGGCCUUGCACUAAUAGUGAUAGUUACCACUGCAUUUAGAAAUUGAAAGCAUUCAUGCAGACAAAGAUUAUACUUUAUAUUUUUGGCUACCAUUUCAAAUGCCUCCACUAAGUGUUACAAUGCUGCAUGCAGCCAUACUAAGGAUCUCGCAGCAACACCUGCAGGUAAAAAGCAAAAAGCAGUCAAAGUGCUGGUGUGUACUGGACACUAUGUUUGAAAACUUUUAGGCAAAUGAGUGCAAGAAGCAGACAUAACUGCAUUUAUUUCCAUAAUUCCCCAUUUGAAUGGCCUUUUCUUUUUGCUUAGACAAUGCCUACGCCUAGCCACAGCAGCUCCCUCAUACAGACUCCGCAAGCCAAGAGGCAAAUGCAGGCAGCCAGCACACCCCGAACAGCCACCUUGACUGCGGGUGUGUCACCCUAGUCACCAAGGAAACAUUUGAGGGAAAGCGACAGGCAAUGUGAACAGCCACUUCUCCAUGUAAACGAUACUCCUUCUCUCGGAUGACUCCUACGCCUUGCCACGCCAGCACACUUGUGCACAAAGAUGCCGCGGAGGCACGUGCAGGUCAGAGGCAAGAAGCAGUGGCACUGGUGUCGACAUUCAACCAAUUUCUUUUUCUUAUACCGAGGCAGCCAGCACACCUCGAACAGCCACCUUGACUGCGGGUGUGUCAGUAGAUUCCUGUUGUACAUAUGCUCAUAAUAAACUUCAGUAAAUUUGAA